GGUACUACAAGAUUCAGCUUCUCAAUAGAAAGACUCAAUUCUUGUUCUUCCGAUGAGUCUUUGUGGUCAUCACGAUCAUCUUUGAUGGUUAUGCUGCAACUCUUCUUCUCUGCUUCCAUUCUUGAUACUCACACUUAGUUUGAAUGAAUUUUGGUUAUGUUGAUUAUGAGAAAAUGGUUAGCCUUUACUUGCUUUAUAUAUAGUGGCAAAUGAGGGAGAUGGUGUAUGAAUAAAUUAAUUAAAAUAGAGGAUUAAAAGAUGAAAUUAACAGAUUAAGUGCAUUUGUGUAACUAGAAAUGGC
rnacentral:lncRNA from 1 species